rnacentral:rRNA from 1 species
UACGUAGGGUGCGAGCGUUAAUCGGAAUUACUGGGCGUAAAGCGUGCGCAGGCGGUUUGUUAAGACAGAUGUGAAAAUCCCCCGGGGCUUAACCUGGGAACUGCAUUUGUGACUGGCAAGCUAGAGUAUGGCAGAGGGGGGGUAGAAUUCCACGUGUAGCAGUGAAAUGCGUAGAGAUGUGGAGGAAUACCCGAUGGCGAAGGCAGCCCCCUGGGCCAAUACUG